GUUAAAUGUUUCCGUUAAUUUACACCCAAAUUUCAACAUGAUUUACCUGUUAUUUGUAAUAACUGCAGCUUACUGUAAAUUUUUAGGGAAUACAUGUUAAAUAACGCCUCAUGUAUGUUAUUUAACACCUCAUUGCUAAAUAACAUUCAUUUUUGUUAUUUAACAGCACAACCGAACAUUCAAAGAUGGCGGCCAGAGUUAGAUGGUCUGGUAUGGUUUUGUAAGUUGCAAAACAAUGACUAAUUCAAUAUUGUCGAUGUUGCAUACUAAGAAAUUAAAUAUUGUAUGCAUUCACUGAAUGAAGGUUAGACAGAACACCACGUGAUUUCUGUACUGCAAAUGUUAUAAAGAAUCAUCUUGCUUUUAUUACCAUAAUCAUACCUCCCGAUUUUAAACGAGACACCUAACAUUUAAUUGACUAACUGCGCUCCAAAUCUGUGUGUGUAGAUGUGUGUGUGUGUGUGUCUUUCUGAUCACGUUCGCGCCACUUUCUGAAAUAACAGGUUCAUACAGUAUUUUUUGCAUUCUGGCAAAGAGCGAGUAAGAAGGCAUUUGAACCUGCAACGCAACGGACACACGGCCAUUCCAUGUCGGAGGAUCGCUCUGGUUACAUCGAGGAAAACCACAACAAUCCGAUGCAGAUGCAGGGCACUAUCCCUGAUCACACUGCUGAUCAAGAAGAUCUCACUGCAUGUAUCCCUCAGAACCAGAUGUCUCAGGACUUGAUAUGCCAGUGCAGCUGACCUUGAGAGUUCACUAGCUUUACCUGCAACGCCUCGUCUGAUACUUCUUGGAGAAACAGGAAACCACUUCCAACGCUGGAUGCUCAGCAUUGAGGGCCAGAUUGUGGGCGAAGGGAUCCAGUCGACCUUUGUGACAGGGCUGGCGUCUUUUUUCUCCGGUUUUUAUAUCUUCAACCUACAGUACCAAGAGGAGGCAGCGUGCACACUUGAAUUCAUCCAGAGACGCUUUGUGGGUAUAAACCCAGAAAAGGGGACAAAGGCUGCAAAGGGGAAAAAAAGAACGGUAAAUUCACACAUCGCCAGCCUCUUGCGCAGACUGAUGGACUUCCAGUGGGAUUUCAUUUCAAAAAGUGGAGGUGUGUUCAGGUGCGUUCUGGGCAAUGUAGUGUAUUUUUCUGUGAUUGAUCCGAUCUAUAUGUGCCUACAUUUGUAAGUAUUUAACUUUCAGUGUUUCUAUUACAAUAAAAAAGUUCAUUUGAACAUGGAACUAUUCGUUUUCUUUCACUUAAGUGUUAUGUGAUGUAUUAUACCUAUUCUUAUAAUAACUCAAGCUAGAAAUAUGUAUAUUACAAUCAAUGGUACACAUUACUAUGCUAAAAUAAUAAUCAAUACAUUUUAAAAGCAAUAUUUAAAGGAAACUAAAUAAAUGGUGAUUUAACAUGAAAAUAAUGGUAACCCUGCUGCCAGUAAAGUCCUGUUAAAAAACAUUACGGGUGUGCACUGUAAAAAAACAUUAACAGGAAUAAACCGUUAAA